rnacentral:lncRNA from 1 species
AUCUUCAAUUGUACAGUGCUUACGCUGGAUAGGCCGUGCACCGACGGUCCUUGCCGCGGUACCUGUACGAUGCCACGGAACCUGUGACACGAAGGAGUGGUUGCCGAGUACGCCUAACAGGAAAGUCACGAUUUUGGUGAGCCAGAGGCAUCUCUACACCCCAUACGAACCUCCGGCACUUCUGCAACCUGACAACACGGCAAAGCGUCUGAUCUGCAUGCUGCGACAAGAAUAUACAUGCAGCAAGUUCAAGUGCGCAGACCUCAAAUUGAAGAGGGCAUAGGCUCCAUGCUGCAGAAAAUGGGGUCCAAGAGCGACUCCUCUUCCAAGGAAUCAAGUGGCGAGUAGAUAUUCUGACUCACUACUUCAUCGUUCGUUGUGCUGGGGCAUGCACUGUGACACACAAAGGUAGCGGAGACAAAAACACAUGACAAGUGAAGCGCAAACUGUCAACUGAGUUUGGUGAACAAGAAGGAAGAACCUAUACCCGAAGCCACUAUCAUCAGCUGGCUGCGGGUUAUAUGUGCUAAAAAGGUGGAGAUAAGAUAAUCAGAAUGAAUCAGAACUUACAAGGCGACCCACUUGAAUCAUAUCGAGCCGAUAA